UUCGGUUGAUCCUGCCGGAGGCCAUUGCUAUCGGAGUCCGAUUUAGCCAUGCUAGACGCACGAGUUCAGACUCGUGGCAGAUAGCUCAGUAACACGUGGCCAAACUACCCUCUAGACACGGACAACCUCGGGAAACUGAGGCUAACCCGUGAUAUCGCUCCCACGCUGGAAAUGCCGGGAGCUCUAAACACUACGGUGCUAGAGGAUGUGGCUGCGGCCGAUUAGGUAGACGGUGGGGUAACGGCCCACCGUGCCCAUAAUCGGUACGGGUUGUGAGAGCAAGAGCCCGGAGACGGAAUCUGAGACAAGAUUCCGGGCCCUACGGGGCGCAGCAGGCGCGAAACCUUUACACUGCACGCAAGUGCGAUAAGGGGACUCCGAGUGCGAGGGCAUAUCGUCCUCGCUUUUCAGCACCGUAGGGUGGUGCUGGAACAAGAGCUGGGCAAGACCGGUGCCAGCCGCCGCGGUAAUACCGGCAGCUCAAGUGAUGGCCGAUCUUAUUGGGCCUAAAGCGUCCGUAGCCGGCCUCGAAAGUCCGUCGGGAAAUCCACGCGCCCAACGCGUGGGCGUCCGGCGGAAACUCCGAGGCUUGGGACCGGAAGGCUCGAGGGGUACGUCCGGGGUAGGAGUGAAAUCCCGUAAUCCCGGACGGACCACCGAUGGCGAAAGCACCUCGAGAAGACGGAUCCGACGGUGAGGGACGAAAGCUAGGGUCUCGAACCGGAUUAGAUACCCGGGUAGUCCUAGCCGUAAACGAUGUCCGCUAGGUGUGGCACUGGCUACGCGCCAGUGCUGUGCCGUAGGGAAGCCGAGAAGCGGACCGCCUGGGAAGUACGUCUGCAAGGAUGAAACUUAAAGGAAUUGGCGGGGGAGCACUAC
rnacentral:rRNA from 1 species